GGUCUUGGAAGACUAGGUCUAUUUGAGGACUCGCCACUUCCGCUCCUGGCUAACUCUGAGCGGGCUUGGAGGGCUGCAUGGUGUUACUGUGCACACUGUCGUGUGCUGUGAAAUUCCUCCGUCAAAGAAAGUCUUCAUUGGCCCGCCUUCAGCAAACACGCUACGACAGUGUCCAGGGGAGACCCAACAGAGGCCUGAUUCAGGCCCUGCAACAAGAUCCCUCCGGCUCACACAGAGAGCCUCACAGUUCCCUGUCCCCUGGCCACAGCGCCUUGAAAGAGCUCUUCCCAUGUACCUGCCGGAGCUCCGUCGGAUGUUAGCUUUUGUUACCGUGCGUUCUUACUCGACACAAGGGAAGCAAUGUGUGCACAGGCCCGGGAAGCGUGCACAUGAUCUGUGUGUCGGACCUGAUAGCUGAGAGCCGGCAUCGGCACCGUCUGCAACAUGAUGUUUGGGCCGUGGUGAUUACUCCCAUUUGAAGACGGGAUUCCGAGCCAGAAAUUGACGGUGCCGAUACGUAAUCGUGCCCAGCUGGCUUACAUACGGCAACAUCGCAGUGGAUAUUAGAACUUCAUUGUCUAAAGGAAAUUGGAGGAUUUUCCUGGAGACACGAUGGCAACGUAGCCAGGAGCCAUUCUAUACCAUCUCCACAAUGCUCCGCCGACAGAGCGGUUGUAUAAUUCAUGAGCACCAGCCAGAGCUCACACUGGAAUAAUCAUCCAACAGAAUUCAAGAUGCCGCGGGAGAAAUCAACACGUGGUCCCUGGUGAUCUCUCUCCGCUAAGAAGACGGGGCUGAGGCGGCCUGGGUUCUGCUGAUGGAAACCCUGAUUUGUUCUUGGACAGGCCAACGAAGGGCUUUGACAAACUUGCUUUCAUCUUACAAGUAUGUCUGAAAGAGCCUCUAGUGGUAAACAUGGACACAACCAUUUGCAGACACCAAUUUUUUCAUGUUUUUUUAUGAAACUUUCUACUGAAAACAAUUUCCUUACAACGAAGAGGCUUUUCCAGGACCAUCUGUUUUGGACGGUCCCAACAAACCGAGUCAGAGUUUAACUGGAGGGUCAGAGUGGGAGCCUGCCAAACGGAGGCUUUGCUGUUGGCCAUCCACGCCGGUUCACCUCCCUCUGGCUCCCCUAAACACAAACACACCGGCUCCAGAUCUUCUGCCUGUAAAUGUGGAGGGAGAGCAGCUCUACUGUACACACACACAAACACACACACCCCUUCAACCUCUUAAUGCGGUACACUGAGGCAAAUUGUGCAGGCAAUGUUCAGCUGUCUCUCUCCCACAUUAUUUAUGUUCAUCCUUGUGGUACCGUUGCCUCCAUCUGACUUGACGCACAACUCAGACCUUAGAUUGAUUAUAAUCAUAUCCAAACUCUUGGGCAGACUAGCUCAUAUCAGCAGGGCUUUUCACUUUAUUUACUUUAUUUGAUAUUUGUAUUUCAAUCAUGUUGCUUGAGGCUGGGAACUGUAAAAAAGGUUGGUAAAGGUUUAUAUCAACACCAUGUAGACUGGCAAAUGUAGUAAUCAUUCUAUCACUGAUUGUGGUAACACAAUGGUGAUUGCGGAUGACAGCCCUGGCAUUGGCAGUAUUAUAAAUGUUACCACCUGGGGGUCACUGUUUCGAAUCUUUGGGAAAAUGACGCUAUAUCACCAAAGGUGUCGCCAAAGAGAACAAAACGAGAAUCAUUGAGAUAGAUAUAUCUACAUAUAUCUACUACAAUAUUUAUUAAUAC
ensembl:lncRNA